AGCAGAAGUUUUCCAGCGCCAUUUUUUCCACCUGCAAGGAUUUCGAUUUUGAAGUGCUUAACGUUACCAAUGCGACUUGAUGGCUAACAUUUGUUGAACGGUGCAACAGUCCACCACAGGAAAAUCAUCUAGAAGAGCUAAUACAAACACUGUGUGGGAGUGUUUUUCCCCCUAUAUUUGCAGGAUCGACAGACACAGAGGAGGUAUCAAGUCAGAACUUCAAAAGACACAGCGGCCGAGCCAGAGGUGGCCUACCCAGUCGGACACACAACAGAGCAGUUCCAGGAUUUCGGCAUCCACGCAAAAGCUAUAUUCCGGGUGGCAGAUUUGGUCUGCACCCGGCAAUGUGAGUAGCUCCUUUUUUUGCCUCGAACAACAACGUGUAUUAGCAGUGGUAGUUUGCUCCGUACUGCCAAAAGUCUCCUUUGUUUCAGCUGAGCGAUUACAUCGCUGCUGGUGGUCGGGUGGAGAACUGAGUAGCCUACGAUCUGUGGAGGACUUACGGGAAGGUACCGAGCGAUUGGAACAUUUGUGGGUUGCCGUGCGGAUGACUGCUUGGCUAGGCUAGGCCGGA